UACGUAGGGUGCAAGCGUUGUCCGGAAUUAUUGGGCGUAAAGAGCUCGUAGGCGGUUUGUCGCGUCUGCUGUGAAAACUCGGGGCUUAACUCCGGGCCUGCAGUGGGUACGGGCAGACUAGAGUGCGGUAGGGGAGACUGGAAUUCCUGGUGUAGCGGUGAAAUGCGCAGAUAUCAGGAGGAACACCGGUGGCGAAGGCGGGUCUCUGGGCCGGUACUGACGCUGAGGUGCGAAAGCGUGGGGAGCAAACAGG
rnacentral:rRNA from 1 species